CUUAUGUAGUAUUUACGUUGUUCAUUGGAGUCACCUUCCCAUUUUUUGGAGAUCUUCUUGGUUUCUUUGGUGGAUUUGGUUUUGCUCCCACUUCAUAUUUUCUUCCUAGCAUAAUGUGGCUGAUAAUCAAGAAACCUAAGAGAUUCAGCACAAAAUGGUUUAUCAACUGGGCUUCCAUACUCAUUGGGUUGUUCAUAAUGAUAGCAUCAACAGUUGGUGGGUUCCGGAAUAUUGUCACUGAUGCCUCCACAUAUAGAUUCUAUACAUAAAUGAUG
rnacentral:misc_RNA from 1 species